rnacentral:rRNA from 1 species
UACGUAGGGGGCAAGCGUUGUCCGGAAUUAUUGGGCGUAAAGAGCUCGUAGGCGGUCUGUCGCGUCGGCUGUGAAAACUUGGGGCUCAACCCCAAGCCUGCAGUCGAUACGGGCAGACUAGAGUGCGGUAGGGGAGACUGGAAUUCCUGGUGUAGCGGUGAAAUGCGCAGAUAUCUGGAGGAACACCGGUGGCGAAGGCGGCAUUCUGGACCGAAACUGACGCUGAGGCGCGAAAGCCAGGGGAGCAAACGGG